CAACGGUGCAGAGAGGAAGUCUUGGCUUCUUCGACCGAUCGACCAUCCCGGUCACGGUCGAGGAGGAUCCGGAGGGAUUGAAGAAAAGAAGAGAGAAGAGGAAGUAAGCUGCAGUCAUCUAACGGCGGUCGCCAUCAUUUUUCUGUCGCAGAUCCAAUCGGAGCGUCUACCACCCACGAUGGUCUCACCACUCGGACGGCCCGGGAAAACGAGGCAGCAACAAUCAAGGGCAAUCAGGGCACCAAUCAUGGCAUCAACCAGUCGACGGGACGGCGCGGGUGGAUCAACAUCAGCGGGUGCAGCCGGAAACCCGUGUGUCAGGCGGAAGCCAGCUAUCCGGCGAGGAGCCAAAAUGAGUAACCGAAAUGGAUAAGGAAGUGUAUCCGGCGCGAUCUCGUUCCUCGAUGAUCGGGGGAGAUCAUCAGAGAUCUCAAGAGCGACGAUCGCAACAAUUCUUCAGUCCACCAGGCUAUCUAUUAUAUUUAUUGUAUCUACGGGAUUUGUUGAAUUUAUCGCCAACUACCGCGCAUCAUUCGUUUCAAGUUAUCGCAUUCACACAUUUCGCACACAAGAGGGGAAAACAGGCUCUCACGUGUCUACCCGGCGAGCCUGAGGAUAUUAAUGAUUUAUCUUGCACACUCGAAAGCGCCUUCGAACGAGACAUCCUCGAGGCGUACACAAAACUCCGCGAGCUCUAGUAUCGAACGAACCUUCCGGCAUUCGAUCUCAAGACCAAACCAGGCAAUUUUUAUUUUCGUUGGACCAACCAUCUUCCGUCUCGACAACGUCUACGCCACACGCCAGACGGCGCACAAUCGUCAAUCACUCGAUCUCCAACGCGAAAUUUUCGGAAACUCAGGAAUCGCCUGACUGGCGGGUGGCUGCCCCCUGCCGUUCUCGCCGGACCGAAGAGCAAAAGCAACAAAAUCGAAUACUUUCAACGCAACACUUGGAGCAUCGUCAAAAACAGCAAACACACCUGGAAACGUCACACAUUUACUAUCACUAUUAUUAUUACUUCAAAAAAUCGAACGCCGACGUUACUUUCACCCUCACAGCCAAUACUAAUACUAAUGAUAGUAACACUAUCGACGAAAAUUCUCUGAAAAAUCAAUAGAAAUUCACGGAAAUAUCACACAGCGCGUGCACCACGCGACGCACUUCAGGAACGCGCAGUUUCACUUCAGGAACGAAAAAGGCACACACUCAUAACACGCACGCGCACGUAAUUAGCGUGCUCCGCGUUGUUUCGCAGCGCGAAAAAAAAAAGAAAGAUAAAAGAAAUUGCGAGAGUCCAGACUCUGCCUCGCUCAAAAUUGGAUUGGAAAGGACAAAACGUCUCUCCUCACAAAAGGCUCACGGCAUGGACGGAAUCGUUCCUCCGACCUCAACCAGGCAACCCUUCGGUCUAUACGCCGCCACAAGCGCAAGUCUCGCACACCUCACGAUUAUUAUUUCGCAGAGCAUUUACCAAACGGUCGCAGCAGGACGCGCGAUCUUUUUUCGUAUGUAUACGAUUUACAGGAGGCAUUACCGCGGACCGUACCGCGAGGAAAAAAAAGAAACACUUCUCGUUACACUUCCCUACGUUCUUUACGCGCUGCGCCAUCACCAAAGAGAUACAACGUGAUUCCAAGUUCACGUACGAUUUAUCGAUGAUUUAUUUUCUCACCGACUCUUCCCGGCAAUUUUACGUGAAACAGUUCCAGCAAGACCAUUUUUGAUCAUUUCACGGUUCAAACAGGAGACAAUCGAUUAACGCGCAUGUCAAUCAACGGCAUGCAAAUUAAGGCUUCAGAGCAGAUCAAAAGCGCCAAAUCGCAAAAUCGGUAAUCACGACGUAAAUUACAUCGUGCGGCCAAAACAGUGCUGCACCGAUCUGAGAAAAAAAAAACGAUCUUCCAGAACUCAACCUGGCGACGAAGAAUAGAGGCUCUCGAUCGAAAUUCGUAAGUUAUUUCGGAUCGACGAGUUAGCGCACCGUCAAAUACCUGACCUACAACUUCUCGAUCGAUUAAUGAUUAGCAGAAAGAGAAAAAGAGAGAGCAAACAGCAGCGCCCGAAAAAACAGACGAUCUCAAAAGCGACCCGCGCAAAUUUCACAAGCAAAAUCCACAGGGAAGUGGGCGGAAAGAUUGACAUUCAAAGCAGAUGUCAUCCCCAAAUCAAUCGAAAUCGAUCAUUAAUCGAAUCCAUUUAUAUCGAACCCCAAAAUCAAUUGGAUCAACAAUCAAGCUAAUUUAUAUAACGUUCGUUUGCGAAUGACGCUAUGCAAAACAGUACACGCGGAGUCCUUUUUGGUCCAAUCCAAGGAUACUCUGAAAACAACCAGAAAUUAUCAGCAAAACCUGCGAAUAAACUUUCACAA